rfam:Streptococcus cuniculi strain NED12-00049-6B 4, whole genome shotgun sequence.
AAAGGUAUGGUAUAAUAAUCUAGUAGAAAAGUGAGACGGUGGCUCCUUAUUCUGAAAGGUAGGUGAUGUCUAUGGACAGUUCAUCAAAAUCUAACGGAAAGGAGGGGCUAAUUUUUGACAGCAUUUGAAGUGGUGGAAGUUCUAUUCAUGUUCGGUAGUUUUACUAUCAGCUUGAUAGGCUUGU